AAGUACUAACCAGGCCCUACUCUGCUUAGCUUCUGAGAUCAGACGAGAUCAGGCGGAGCCAGAGAGGUAUGGCCGUAAGCAACUGUAUGUCCUCUACCUAAUCUUUUAAUAUGUGUCAAAGGUUUUGUAGUUUUGACAAUGAAAUGGAGUCACUUUCUAAGUUCUUCUCUGUGUCUUUUACAGAUAGAAAUGAAAAAGCUUACGGCACCUGGGAUUCCCAGGCGGUCUUCCAUCCAAGUACUAACCAGGCCCUACUCUGCUUAGCUUCUGAGAUCAGACGAGAUCAGGCGGAGCCAGAGAGGUAUGGCCGUAAGCAACUGUAUGUCCUCUUCCUAAUCUUUUAAAAUGUGUCAAAGGUUUUGGAGUUUUGAUAAUGAAAAAGGAUUCACUUUCUAAUGCCUUCUCAAUUUCUUCCAGAGAGAGAAAUGAAAAAGCUUACGGCACCUGGGAUUCCCAAGCAGUCUUCCAUCCAAGUACUAACCAGGCCCUACUCUGCUUAGCUUCUGAGAUCUGACGAGAUCAGGCGGAGCCAGAGAGGUAUGGCCGUAAGCAACUGUAUGUCCUCUACCUAAUCUUUUAAAAUGUGUCAAAGGUUUUGGAGUUUUGAUAAUGAAAAAGGAGUCACUUUCUAAGGCCUUCUCUGUGUCUUUUACAGAUCGAAAUGAAAAAGCUUACAGCACCUGGGAUUCCCAGGCGGUCUUCCAUCCAAGUACUAACCAGGCCCUACUCUGCUUAGCUUCUGAGAUCAGACGAGAUCAGGCGGAGCCAGAGAGGUAUGGCCGUAAGCAACUGUAUGUCCUCUUCCUAAUCUUUUAAAAUGUGUCAAAGGUUUUGGAGUUUUGAUAAUGAAAAAGGAUUCACUUUCUAAUGCCUUCUCAAUUUCUUCCAGAGAGAGAAAUGAAAAAGCUUACGGCACCUGGGAUUCCCAGGCGGUCUUCCAUCCAAGUACUAACCAGGCCCUACUCUGCUUAGCUUCUGAGAUCAGACGAGAUCAGGCGGAGCCAGAGAGGUAUGGCCGUAAGCAACUGUAUGUCCUCUUCCUAAUAUUUUAAAAUGUGUCAAAGGUUUUGGAGUUUUGAUAAUGAAAAAGGAUUCACUUUCUAAUGCCUUCUCAAUUUCUUCCAGAGAGAGAAAUGAAAAAGCUUACGGCACCUGGGAUUCCCAGGCGGUCUUCCAUCCAAGUACUAACCAGGCCCUACUCUGCUUAGCUUCUGAGAUCAGACGAGAUCAGGCGGAGCCAGAGAGGUAUGGCCGUAAGCAACUGUAUGUCCUCUACCUAAUCUUUUAAAAUGUGUCAAAGGUUUUGUAGUUUUGACAAUUAAAUGGAGUCACUUUCUAAGGCCUUCUCUGUGUCUUUUACAAAUAGAAUUGAAAAAGCUUACGGCACCUGGGAUUCCCAGGCGGUCUUCCAUCCAAGUACUAACCAGGCCCUACUCUGCUUAGCUUCUGAGAUCAGACGAGAUCAGGCGGAGCCAGAGAAGUAUGGCCGUAAGCAACUGUAUGUCCUCUUCCUAAUCUUUUAAAAUGUGUCAAAGGUUUUGGAGUUUUGAUAAUGAAAAAGGAUUCACUUUCUAAUGCCUUCUCAAUGUCUUCCAGAGAGAGAAAUGAAAAAGCUUACGGCACCUGGGAUUCCCAGGCGGUCUUCCAUCCAAGUACUAACCAGGCCCUACUCUGCUUAGCUUCUGAGAUCAGACGAGAUCAGGCGGAGCCAGAGAGUUAUGGCCGUAAGCAACUGUAUGUCCUCUUCCUAAUAUUUUAAAAUGUGUCAAAGGUUUUGGAGUUUUGAUAAUGAAAAAGGAUUCACUUUCUAAUGCCUUCUCGAUUUCUUCCAGAGAGAGAAAUGAAAAAGCUUACGGCACCUGGGAUUCCCAGGCGGUCUUCCAUCCAAGUACUAACCAGGCCCUACUCUGCUUAGCUUCUGAGAUCAGACGAGAUCAGGCAGAGCCAGAGAGGUAUGGCCGUAAGCAACUGUAUGUCCUCUUCCUAAUCUUUUAAAAUGUGUCAAAGGUUUUGGAGUUUUGAUAAUGAAAAAGGAGUCACUUUCUAAGGCCUUCUCGAUUUCUUCCAGAGAGAGAAAUGAAAAAGCUUACGGCACCUGGGAUUCCCAGGCGGUCUUCCAUCCAAGUACUAACCAGGCCCUACUCUGCUUAGCUUCUGAGAUCUGACGAGAUCAGGCAGAGCCAGAGAGGUAUGGCCGUAAGCAACUGUAUGUCCUCUACCUAAUCUUUUAAAAUGUGUCAAAGGUUUUGUAGUUUUGACAAUGAAAUGGAGUCCACUUCUAAGGGCUUCUCUGUGUCUUU
ensembl:lncRNA